rnacentral:snoRNA from 21 species
UCUCUCCUCUUUCUGCCUGCCUGUUGUCCUUGAUCAGCUGAGCAGUUCUGGUGUAGGAGAAGAAUUAGCAGCCAUCCUUGUUCGUACCUUACCUCAUAUUAGCGAGCAGGGGUGGACCGUGUCUGCCGAGGCUCUUGGGGCUGUCUGUUCGUUGACUUCCUCUGGCUGCGGUUGACUACAA